AGGAUCGUGUCAUAGUUGGAGACUUCAACGGGUUUUCCAAUGUAGAGUUCGAAUCGUGAGUCCAAUGCAGCCAAGAUGAUGUUUCUUUGGCUGCAGGUACUUCGGUAUAGUUGAUGAGUUGGUAGCAGUGUACUUGAGAUAUUAUGACUGAAGCUCGCCGCGACAAUUGUAAUUGUCGGACCACGGGUUGUCCACUAUGUUAUAGGUUUGGUAUGGUUUGUGACGUUUGUGUCACUUAUUCUUUGUUAAGCCAUUAUUGUUAUGUAAAUAUUGUGUUAAUAAGACUCAAACAGAUAGAUGUUAAAUGGCUCAAUGUUGUAAUUAAUUUGUGAUAGAUGUAUAAGUUGUAAUUUUCGCUAUUCAGAUUUAUGUUUUCCGCU